GACGGUAGCGCGGGACACUUGUGUAAACAUUUAUGAUCUUCGUUUCUGAUGAUCUGAAGUUUGGGGAUGACAGACUUUGAUUGAAAUUGAAGUAACACAGAUUUACCUGGAGUCCUCAACUUACGGCCUUUGCAACCAGAACACAGAGGGACAAGCCCAUUCGAGAAGAGCAAGGCCAGUCUGAAGGUCGGGAGUGUGGGCAAGAGACAGCUGUGUGAAGAUCAGGACUGUGCCUGCUGAAGCACACCAGUGCGACCAUGCUCAGUGGGCAAGUUUCUGACCCAGUGUAGCAGGCAAAGAACAAUGAAGUUGCAGUCAAGCCUCAGAGGUUCUCCCUUGCCAUGAGGAAAAGCGUCGGAGCCUUUGUACACAGGCUCUAGUGUGAACACACAGGAAUGGGUGUGUGUUCACAUACUUGUGUGCAUGCCCAUUCAUGUGUGCAAGUGUGCGAGUAUGUAUGUCUAUGUAAUCACAUGUGUGUAUAUAAAUAUGCAUAUGGAUGCCUCUGUGUGUCUGUGUUGCUCACAAUACUGUUUGGAGUGGAUAGAAUAGGGUGAAAGGCCACAAAUCCUGACUUUGUAGAAAUGAGAUACAUAUGUGUCUACACACCCACUCUCACAGGUUUGUACUCUCAGUUCUCUUUGAACCUGAGGCUUCUCUGACCUCUGUCCUCAACCCUGGCAGAUUUCCAAGCUGCUUUUCAUCCUUUUUGUUUCCUUUUUGACAACCUCUUGUAAUUAUUGCAAUUAAGAAAACAUUUAAUAAAAGUAUAUAUAUAUAUAUACAUAUAUAUAUAUAUGCAUUG